rnacentral:lncRNA from 1 species
AGCCUGACAGGCCCACCAAGCCCGGCCCACUAAGCCCAGGACUACAUGCGCUUAAGCCCGUCACGGGCUGGUCUCACCCAUUGAGCCCACGAAGACCGGGACCCCAAGCCCAGAACUGCUAGAGCCCCAGCCCACGAAGCCCGGGACCGCGAAGCCCGCCCUACAAAGCCCGUUUAGGCCCGGGCCUGGGACAAAAUACAGCCCUAGUUGAAAUUAAGGGAGCGGAAUCAAUAUAUAUA